AAAGUGACAGGUGGUGCAUGGUUGUCGUCAGCUCGUGUCGUGAGAUGUUGGGUUAAGUCCCGCAACGAGCGCAACCCUUAAGCUUAGUUGCCAGCAUUAAGUUGGGCACUCUAAGUUGACUGCCGGUGACAAACCGGAGGAAGGUGGGGAUGACGUCAAAUCAUCAUGCCCCUUAUGAUUUGGGCUACACACGUGCUACAAUGGACAAUACAAAGGGCAGCUAAACCGCGAGGUCAUGCAAAUCCCAUAAAGUUGUUCUCAGUUCGGAUUGUAGUCUGCAACUCGACUACAUGAAGCUGGAAUCGCUAGUAAUCGUAGAUCAGCAUGCUACGGUGAAUACGUUCCCGGGUCUUGUACACACCGCCCGUCACACCACGAGAGUCUGUAACACCCGAAGCCGGUGGAGUAACCAUUUAUGGAGCUAGCCGUCGAAGGUGGGACAAAUGAUUGGGGUGAAGUCGUAACAAGGUAGCCGUAUCGGAAGGUGCGGUUGGAUCACCUC
rnacentral:rRNA from 1 species